UACGGAGGAUCCGAGCGUUAUCCGGAUUUAUUGGGUUUAAAGGGUGCGCAGGCGGGAGAUUAAGUCGGCGGUGAAAUUUUGCAGCUCAACUGUAAAAGUGCCUUCGAAACUGGUUUCCUUGAGUGUAGAUGAAGUAGGCGGAAUUUGUGGUGUAGCGGUGAAAUGCAUAGGUAUCACGAGGAACUCCGAUUGCGCAGGCAGCUUACUAAACUACUACUGACGCUCAGGCACGAAGGCGUGGGGAUCAAACAGGAUUAGAUACCCGCGUAGUCCCU
rnacentral:rRNA from 1 species